GUGCAGUAAGAGGUUGUGCUGCUCUAUAUAGAUUAUGUCUGCCUUUGCUGUUACUUGUCCAAAUUCAGAUAACAACAGUCUGUCAGGGGAUGAGCCAAUGAAGGAAGCUCCAAUGCAGUGGUUCUCAAAAUGGAGUCUGUGGUGCCCGAGGAGACUACGAAAGGACACUGAAGUAUCAUGAAAACAGGAUGACUUGAGACAGUCUUCCCCACAAGUUCUGACCUCAACAGUUUAAAUGAAACAUUAAUAGCAUGAAGCUCACUAAUCUUAGAAAACCUGCAUGGCCUGCAAAGGUCAGGGGCAAUAGCAAUUCCUCCAGACUAGGCAACAACAAAAAAAAUAUUUCAAAGGAAAACUUUUA
rnacentral:lncRNA from 1 species